rnacentral:sRNA from 2 species
CCAGCAAAUAUCGACAGAGGGUAUAUCCUUUCUAUACUUUCUCUCCAGGUUCUGUUCUGAUUUGGAAAUAAUCUUGUUGGUGAGAGGAGAGGGGAUGGAUGGCCCAUUUGGGGCUUGCGGCCGUGUGGGCAUUGUGGGCAUUGCGGGCGGGUUUGCGAUUGCUUUCGUUCGGGCGGUUGCAGGAUGUACACAGUGCAGAGUGACCUGUACGAAUACCUUCGUUGUCGCUCAGAGGUAGUUGGGACGGGAGGAGUUGUGUAAGUUGUUGGAUACAUACAACCGAGUCUGGAUCCAAUCCAGCGCAUAAAAUAAAAAAAUAAAAUAAAAAGUAACUUCUUAGGCAACAACCGAUUCGAAGUUGAGGGAACACGGUGAGUUGGUUUUGUCCAAGUCACGAUCCCAUGUAGCCCGUGUAAUUCGUCUUGAGGCAAUUCCCAAGUCGUUUAUUGCUCACUCACUCACUCACUCAGUGUCUCUGAGCUGCUUCCUUCCGGAAACGUUUCCAGUGGUAAA